AGGAUGGGCUGCUGCGGAAUGCAGGGAGAAACUUAUAAAUGAAAUGGAUCCUUUGUGGAAAAUCAGUCAAGAGACACAAAACAAUAUAAAUCAGGAAACUAGCAAAACUCAUUCAUUAGUGAACUAUGUGGCUUUACGGAAGGUGAUGAUAAAAAUUCAAUAUCAAAAGACACAUCUAUUUCUGCCUGAGAAGGAGCAACUGCAUCUGCAGGCACCGGACAAAGAAGCAGAAUAGCUUUUUCAACAACUACAAGAUAGUGAAUUGAGGAUGACUCAACA